rnacentral:tRNA from 1 species
GUUUCCGCUGGUCGCGGAGCCACGGAAAAAGGACUCAUAAUCCGUUGGUCGCGGGUUCGAGCCCCGCCCGCCCCA